GAGUUGAUCCUGGCUCAGAACGACGCUGGCGGCAGGCUUAACACAUGCAAGUCGAACGCAUCCUUCGGGGUGAGUGGCAGACGGGUGAGUAACGCGUCGGGGAUGUGCCUUGAGGUGGGGAAUAACUGUGGGAAACUACAGCUAAUACCGCAUAAGCCCGAAAGGGGAAAGAUUUAUCGCCUUUAGAGCAACCCGCGUCAGAUUAGCUAGUUGGUAGGGUAAUGGCCUACCAAGGCGACGAUCUGUAGCUGGUCUGAGAGGAUGACCAGCCACACUGGGACUGAGACACGGCCCAGACUCCUACGGGAGGCAGCAGUGGGGAAUAUUGGACAAUGGGCGCAAGCCUGAUCCAGCCAUGCCGCGUGAGUGAUGACGGCCUUAGGGUUGUAAAGCUCUUUUAACAGGGACGAUAAUGACGGCACCUGUAGAAUAAGCCCCGGCAAACUUCGUG
rnacentral:rRNA from 1 species